rnacentral:rRNA from 1 species
AUGAACGCUGGCGGCGUGCUUAACACCUGCAAGUCGCACGGUGAAGGCGGAGCUUGCUCUGCUGGAUCAGUGGCGAACGGGUGAGUAACACGUGAGCAAUCUGCCCCUGACUCUGGGAUAAGCGCUGGAAACGGCGUCUAAUACUGGAUACGAGCUGCGAAGGCAUCUUCAGCAGCUGGAAAGAACUUCGGUCAGGGAUGAGCUCGCGGCCUAUCAGCUUGUUGGUGAGGUAACGGCUCACCAAGGCGUCGACGGGUAGCCGGCCUGAGAGGGUGACCGGCCACACUGGGACUGAGACACGGCCCAGACUCCUACGGGAGGCAGCAGUGGGGAAUAUUGCACAAUGGGCGAAAGCCUGAUGCAGCAACGCCGCGUGAGGGACGACGGCCUUCGGGUUGUAAACCUCUUUUAGCAGGGAAGAAGCGAAAGUGACGGUACCUGCAGAAAAAGCGCCGGCUAACUACGUG